GGGCGGUUAGUUCAGCGGUAGAACGCUUCGUUGACACCGAAGAGGUCGUAGGUUCGACUCCUACAUCGCCCACCA
rnacentral:tRNA from 1 species